rfam:Caenorhabditis japonica strain DF5081 Contig12292.1, whole genome shotgun sequence.
UAUUAUAGGCCUAUCGCGCAAAACGUUGAAUACACGCCAUCCCGUCCGAUCUGGCAAGUUAAGCAACGUUGAGUCCAGUUAGUACUUGGAUCGGAGACGGCCUGGGAAUCCUGGAUGUUGUAAGCU